GGGGGGGGCUAUAAUGCAAGUCGAGCGAACUGAUUAGAAGCUUGCUUCUAUGACGUUAGCGGCGGACGGGUGAGUAACACGUGGGCAACCUGCCUGUAAGACUGGGAUAACUUCGGGAAACCGAAGCUAAUACCGGAUAGGAUCUUCUCCUUCAUGGGAGAUGAUUGAAAGAUGGUUUCGGCUAUCACUUACAGAUGGGCCCGCGGUGCAUUAGCUAGUUGGUGAGGUAACGGCUCACCAAGGCAACGAUGCAUAGCCGACCUGAGAGGGUGAUCGGCCACACUGGGACUGAGACACGGCCCAGACUCCUACGGGAGGCAGCAGUAGGGAAUCUUCCGCAAUGGACGAAAGUCUGACGGAGCAACGCCGCGUGAGUGAUGAAGGCUUUCGGGUCGUAAAACUCUGUUGUUAGGGAAGAACAAGUACGAGAGUAACUGCUCGUACCUUGACGGUACCUAACCAGAAAGCCACGGCUAACUACGUGCCAGCAGCCGCGGUAAUACGUAGGUGGCAAGCGUUAUCCGGAAUUAUUGGGCGUAAAGCGCGCGCAGGCGGUUUCUUAAGUCUGAUGUGAAAGCCCACGGCUCAACCGUGGAGGGUCAUUGGAAACUGGGGAACUUGAGUGCAGAAGAGAAAAGCGGAAUUCCACGUGUAGCGGUGAAAUGCGUAGAGAUGUGGAGGAACACCAGUGGCGAAGGCGGCUUUUUGGUCUGUAACUGACGCUGAGGCGCGAAAGCGUGGGGAGCAAACAGGAUUAGAUAC
rnacentral:rRNA from 2 species